rnacentral:rRNA from 1 species
UACGUAGGGUGCAAGCGUUGUCCGGAAUUAUUGGGCGUAAAGCGCGUGUAGGCGGCUUUGCAAGUCGGGUGUGAAAGCCCUCAGCUUAACUGAGGAAGUGCGCCCGAAACUGCAUGGCUUGAGUACCGGAGAGGAUGGCGGAAUUCCCCAAGUAGAGGUGAAAUUCGUAGAUAUGGGGAGGAACACCGGUGGCGAAGGCGGCCAUCUGGACGGAUACUGACGCUGAGACGCGAAAGCGUGGGUAGCAAACAGG